AUGAUGGAAACAGCCACCAUGUUGUGAGGACACUCAAUUAGCCUUGUGGAGAGACCCACAUGGGUGAGAAACUAAGGGCUGCCACCAACAGCCCACAUCCACUUGCCAGCUCUGAGAGCAAAUAGAUCCUGCAGGCCUAGUCAAGCCUCAUUUGACUGACGCCUCAGUCAACAUCUUGACUGCAAGCCCAUGCAAAACACUGAGCCAGAAACCACCCACCCAAGAAGCUGUGAAUUCCUGACUGGCAAAAAAUGCUGAGCAGAAAACCAGGAAAUGGAUGGACUCCACCUCCGCAGCCACGCCUGCCCGUUUGCGCUUACUGAACAGAGGUCCUCAGGAACGUGAGCCCCUCUUCUUGGGCCUGCGAUUCCUCACCUGGAAGGGAGAAGAGUGGACUUCCUGCCUAGAGAACACCUUGGUAAACUCUUUGUGGUUCCUGUCAUGAGAAGGUGUGCAGCUUAGGGAAAAAGCCUGUGAGCUCUGGAAUCAGAUGGAACUGGAUAUGAAUUUCCAUUUAGUGCUUGUUGGAUUAAAUGUGAUGCUAUGUGUACCCUUUU
rnacentral:lncRNA from 1 species